GAGAGAGAGCAGUGGUGGUCAAGCGAGCUAGAGAGUGAAGGAAGAGAGCGAGCGGCGCUAGCGAGGACAAAGCCGUGAAUCAGACGAAUAAAACGUUAUUUUCUGAUUGUUUCACGGUGGUUAAAUGACGUUCUAAAGCACAAAUAAACACACUCACACCCCCACACAGCAACACUGCCCAAAGCUUCUAGUGGGUCAGAAGUGAUGAUUGAGAGGGAUUACUUUUGUAUGAGUCUCUACAUUGUUUUCUUUUUUAGGAAAAUCCUGCAUAGUAUGCCUUUAAAGUGCCAACAAGAUUAUAUAUAUAUAUAUAUGCAUAUAAAAGUCAUAUAUUUAAGAGGGCAAACUGCUGCUUAAACCUUCACCGUCAGCUUUGUUAGUUUACCGCAGCAAAUGUUUCAGUAAUGUUUUUACCCUUCUCGCUCUCUCAGUUCUCUCCCGCUGCUAUAAAACAAAGCCAAACAGUCAAAGAGAAACCGCAGCUCAUUUAAAACCUGGCCUCUGAAACGAAACAUUUCUAACCUGGGAUAAAAGUCCAGCCGAGACCCCUGCUGGCUCUGGAUCCCUCUUAUCUUUCCAGUAGGCUCAUGAAAGGGGAAAUAGUGAGGAAAAGGAAGAAGAAGAAGAAAGUGGACUUGUUAAAAUGCUCCUUCUGCAUCUGUAACUUACAAGGGAAGUCCAACAUUUGACUUGUGGGUCCAGUAAUUCCAUCCUAGAGGUGUAAUCCCCGUCGGUGAAGGAGGAGGUCAUGUAAGGCCUUGUUAACCUGUCUGCAGUGGUUGCUAUGGAGUGAUGGAGGAAGUGGGAUGAAUAAAUGAAGCUGAACAGAAGAGCAUGUUUUCUUAUAAUAAAGUGCUUAUAAUCAGUGUUUUUGUAUCUCCAGUCUGAUGUCUCAGUGUGUAAUGUGUU